UACGGAGGGGGCUAGCGUUGUUCGGAAUUACUGGCGUAAAGCGCACGUAGGCGGCUUUGUAAGUUAGAGGUGAAAGCCCGGGGCUCAACCCCGGAAUUGCCUUUAAGACUGCAUCGCUAGAAUUGUGGAGAGGUAAGUGGAAUUCCGAGUGUAGAGGUGAAAUUCGUAGAUAUUCGGAAGAACACCAGUGGCGAAGGCGACUUACUGGACACAUAUUGACGCUGAGGUGCGAAAGCGUGGG
rnacentral:rRNA from 1 species